GAUGGUAUAAGAGAGCUUCCUUUAGUCCACUCAUAGGUAGACGAAGGAUUUGAAUUAUCUCCCGACUCAUUCAUUCAAACGCAAUAGGAAGUAUGUAAUCUUAUACUAUUGUGAAUGUGUGAAUGAUGCGGGAGAUAAAUUCUCUCCUUUUUAUCUGUGCUUGGACUGAAGGGAGCUCCCUUUUACCUUCUU
rfam:Solanum lycopersicum cultivar Heinz 1706 chromosome 6, whole genome shotgun sequence.